UGGAAAAGUCUGAGAAGCCAGCCUG
rnacentral:piRNA from 1 species